rnacentral:rRNA from 1 species
UACGUAGGGGGCAAGCGUUGUCCGGAUUUAUUGGGCGUAAAGAGCGUGUAGGCGGCCGUACAGGUCAGCUGUGAAAACUCGAGGCUCAACCUCGAGACGUCGGUUGAAACCGUACGGCUAGAGUCCGGAAGAGGAGAGUGGAAUUCCCGGUGUAGCGGUGAAAUGCGCAGAUAUCAGGAGGAACACCGGUGGCGAAGGCGGUUCUCUGGGCAUGUCCUGACGCUGGAGGAGCGAAAGCCGUGGGGAGCGAACAGG